CUCCAUCACACCGCAUGGUGUGUUGGGAAAGCCUUUGCGGCAUGGGAUGGGGUCGCGUCCUAUCAGCUUGAUGGCGGGGUAACGGCCCACCAUGGCUUCGACGGGUAGCCGGCCUGAGAGGGCGACCGGCCACAUUGGGACUGAGAUACGGCCCAGACUCCUACGGGAGGCAGCAGUGGGGAAUAUUGCACAAUGGGCGCAAGCCUGAUGCACCGACGCGGGCGUGAGGGAUGGAGGCCUUCGGGUUGUAAAAUUCUUUUGUUAGGGAGCAAGGCACUUUGUGUUGAGUGUACCUUUCGAAUAAGCACCGGCUAACUACGUGCCAGCAGCCGCGGUAAUACGUAGGGUGCAAGCGUUAUCCGGAAUUAUUGGGCGUAAAGGGCUCGUAGGCGGUUCGUCGCGUCCGGUGUGAAAGUCCAUCGCUUAACGGUGGAUCCGCGCCGGGUACGGGCGGGCUGAGUGCGGUAGGGGAGACUGGAA
rnacentral:rRNA from 1 species